UUGUAUCUUAUUUAGCAUUUUUCGUGCGAUAGAUUAAAUGUAAUAUAAAGUUAUACAUAGAAUAUGCGCGCGUCGUAGUAAAUCGUAGGUGAUAAAAACCGACCACAUGAAUUUCGACGCGCGGUACCCACGUAACGACACAGCGGUACGUUAAAACCGACGCUGCCGUCUCUCUUAUCGACGAAGACGUUGAAAUUUGCCAAUUUUACGGAUCGUCAAAAUAUCGAAAAAAUCGAAGAGGACAAUAAUGCAGAAAAAAUUCUCGUGCAUCGAGUCAGAGUCCGGCCACGCGACCCGGGGAAUCCCCUGCUUAUCUACCUGCACGUGAUUUCGAUCGGGAUUGAGUCAUUGAGCCGACUUAAGGAGGAACAAUCUUAAUCUCGCACAAUCCUUGCAUGGUGCGGUAAUUGGUGCUAUCGAAACACACCUUGAUAUCGUUGUUCCUUUGCUAUGUGUACUCGCGUGACGUAGACGGCAACGAUCUCGUAUCUCCGGGGGGAUAGAAGGUGAAAUAAUCGACCGAUUUUCGCUUCGAGCCCGAUAACGAAGACGAAGAGGACACGCGGUAUAAAAGAAAAAAAACAAAAAAAAAUCACCCCGUAGAGACGGGAGUAAAACUUGAUACAGAUAAUAAAGACGUGUGUAUUCCUAAUAAAGUUUUUCUCUACGGGCGGUGCGUGCGAUGGGUAGAGGUACAUACAUAUGGGUUCUGUUACACAUAUAUAUAUAUAGAUAUACAUAUACAUAUAUAAACUAUAAGGUGAAUUUUACGGUAGUUUAAAUGGUCCUUUAAAUCAUAGAACACGCUGUGAGCUGAAGAAGAUCUCCUGGCGUGCAGACACCGGCGUCAACCGGCAGCUCAUAUAUUAUUAGCGAGGGAAGCAGCUUCGGUUUACCCCGCGCUGCCGUUGUGCGGAUAUAUAAUACAUACGAGAUAGGCGUGUACACGCGUGUGUAUAUAUGCGAAUAUAUUCACGGAGCAGCGGUAGACGACCGACGGGAAGGUGUUUGUAAUUUAAUUUCUGUACACAGGCAAACUUCACCGGCUCAUUACGCAUCUGGUAUGCGUAGAUACAGGUAUACACCGGAAGAUACGAGCGGUGUACGCAGGGUGUUCCAAAUUGACGUCGGAUGGAAUACCCGCGAAGGAUCGUCGACGGAUUUGGAAAUGGAAACGCUUUCGUCGCGUCGAUAACGUACGCGGGAUGAGGUAUUUUUCUUUUAUUUUUUUUUUUUUGUCGAGAGAACGUCGGAUCGAAAAAAAAAAGUGAAUCAACUCCGCUCGAAAAAUACCAUUUUUCGCUCGUCAGAGGCCACGUUAUCAUCGAAAACAGGAAGCGGUUAUCCUUCGAUUUUUUUAUUUUUCGACACUCGGAUCCGACCAUCCGAAGCGCGAAUGAAGAACGCGUCGAUAACGAGUGAUGCGAAUCCGAAUUUACAAAAAGCUCCGGACGCCCGAGCUUUUUGACCCACGAUUAUAAGAUUUUCGCGCGGAUCUAAGGAGUGUGGGAAGAGUAUACAGAGAGAAGGAGCGGCUAGUGAAAAAAGGAGCAAUGAGAAUGGAAAAAAAAAGACGCCCCGCGUCGCGAGAAUUGCGUAAUAUCUAGUUGCCCGACUACCCGUGCGACCCCGUCCGGUAACGUCGACGCGCCGCGGCGGCAUCGCGGCACGUGUUUUUAAGCAAGGACGGAAUUAGCCCGCGCGACCUGACUUCUCCCGCCAUAAACUCUAGGUACCCUUCGCACCCUAAAUUGCCGCGCGAUGUAUAAACAUCAUCGGCGCAGUGUCCAAGUUUAGAAUCAAGACCUAGAGAUAGAGAAAGAGAGAAUCGUAGCCCCUAGAAUCUCUGGUCCCUACUGUUCGAAUAUGUAACACGCGCCAUCCGUUCCGUCUCUGAACUCAAUUUUUCACCCCGCAUACGCCAACUGAGGUGAUAAUUAUCGAAAGUUGAUACGUUUCGAUUACUCUACCGAUCGAUUGAUCGAGAACGACGGAAUCCAAUUAUUUUUAUGGCCCCCUUCGAUGCACUGCAGCUUUUUACAUCCCUGAAACUUACUUUUUGAUCUUAUGCAAUCCAGAAGAACGAAUGAGACGAGUAUAAAUAAAUAUACACGGUGUCCGUAAUUAGAUGACGACAGGUAAGUACACCGGCACAGCAGUGCGUAACGAGAUGCGUGAAUAAUUUUUAACGUUUUUCUUUCGGUAUAAUCGCUUUUGGAUUUCACGUCAAACAUUUAAAAAUCUUGUUAAAAAAAAAUUGUUAAAAAUGAAAAUCGUCGAUCACGAGUAUCGGUCGGACUGCAGCGUCGAGGUGAGAUGAAUUUUGGAGUUCGCACGCGAAGAAUCUUCGAAAUUUCGGAUAAGUCAACUACUCUCCGUGAGAGAAUACCCAACAUUCCUUCGUAAUACGGGAGGAACAAGUACGAGGCGAAAGAAGAAUGAGAAAAAAAAAAGGGAUGAAUAAAAUAAAAUAAAAAUGAAAUAAUAUUUUUUUGCUCAAGACUUUUGAGAACCUUCAAGGUUAUUAACUGCACGUCGAAAAGUUUGGCGGGCUUUUAUUUUGUUCCUUUUAGUUUCCGCUCAGUUUCGUUUCGUUUCGUUUGGUAGUUCUCUCUCUCGGUUCGGAAAGGAGUAUAGGUAUAUAACCACACGUACGUACUCCGUACAUAUGUAUGUACGGUACAUACGGAAUACCCACAACUAAAUACAUAUACAUGUAUAUCGACGUACGCGUAUAAAAGCGAGAUUCUGGCCCGCGUUCCUUGCACUGAAACUGGUUUUCACCUCACUUUGAGAGUGAGGACUGGUGGUUAUUGCCAGCAACCUGAAUAUAGGAAGUUAAGCUUUGUGGCGGUGGCAACACUUGUUGUAUAAUUUACCCUCACUUACACUAUAUACCUGUAUAUAAAUAUAUAAAAUAUAUAUACCUAGUUUAUACCCACUCUACUGUCGUACGGCUCGUUUAGUUUCCCGCCAUCUAUACAAAGACGAAUCUACGGAUCAAACUUUUCGUCUAAAUAAUUCAUUCCCUUAUUACAAUAAAUUUCGAAAAUAUCACAAUUAUCAUAGACACAACCGAUCCGGCGUUCUUCUCUACACACUUCCAAAGAUAUUUGAUUCGAAUCGAUUGAAAGAAAAAAAAAAAAAAAAAAAAUUAUCUCAAAAAUUGCAAUCGUCACAGAUUUCACAGUCGCGACUUCCGUGGACAAAAGAAUUGACCGCUGUAAUGAAAUGAAGCGAAUAAAAGAAAAAAAAAAACGAAUAAAAAAAAUCGCAUUUUCGAAUGAGUCACGAUUAAGAUAGACGGGUAUACACGUACGUAUAUUACGCACACAUGCGACGAAUGUACGGUGACGCCCAAGUAAUUUGCGUGGGCGUUUUUUGUCGGGAAUAAAAGUCGACAAAAAAAAAAACCACAAACACGAAAAAAAGAUCCAUAGAUCUGCAGCAAAUCUGGGCGGUUGUUAUGUACGGUAAAAUAUAAUGGGAUACAUAAUAGAAACGUAUUCUAGCAUUGAAAUUAUUGCAUCAGAACCUAGAAGAAGCAACAGUAGCGGGCGACAUGUACGUAUACAUCAAGUGUAUUAUACAUAUGUAUAAACACAUAUAUGUAUAUAUAUAUAGAGAGAGAGAGCAGCGACGUCGUUAUUAUAUCCGCAAGUAUAUAUCGAGUACAGUGAGCAGUAGUAGCCAAGUAUAAAAGCCCGCGGAGUUAUGAUUUAGCGCAGAAUAAUCGGUGAACGCGAAACAACCAACGAGCUCUAAAAAUACUCGAAAUAUAUAUAUAUAUAUAUAUAUUGCGAACCGGUACAUGCACAUACGUUAUAAUACACACUCGUAUGUACGUACGUACCUACACUUACACUAUAGGCAAAGAGAGUGAGCUAUACCGAAGCUGUAUAUUCUACGCCCGCGACGGCCUCUUCGUCGCUAGAAGGUAUUUCUCUUCUUUCAUUUUGCAGAGCUCUCUAUCUCUCUACUCCUCUCGCAUUUUGCAUAAUGGAUAAAACUAUGCGAUACGAUACAGAUAAAUUUUCCGCAUAUUGUAGACAGCGAUACGUACGGGAAGCAAACGUUCCGUGGCUCCGUCUGGAUAAUUAUUCGUUUCGUUUUUAUUUAUUUCGUGGAAAAAUCACAUCUUUCUCUACGCAUUUCCGAAAGAAAAGCGAUUUGGAAAUCGAAAUUUUGUCGCGAGUGUGAAACGGGAAAAAAAAAAAGGAAAAAUUAAAAAAAAAAAAAUACUCACAUCGCAGUAUCGCAGAAAAAUGACAUUCUAAUUUGUUUUCUACAUAGGUAUUCGUACGCAUAGGUGUAUAUAUGUAGAAAAAAAAAAGCUUCGCUGUACAUGAUGCGCCGAGUUUAUAAUUGCGCGCGAAUCUCAACCGUGACGUAACAACGAUGAUUAUGUACGCGAAGGAGCGUAUAUAUGUGCACAUCGAACGAACAGGUGCCUAUGAGGAGUAUGUAACGAACUAUAUGACGAAGAGGUGUACCCGCUGAUAUUUAUGAGCGUUCGAAUGCCACCGCCAGUCGAGUGCCACUCAUAGAAAAUGGUGUACAUACAUAUAUACAUAGUUAUGUGGAUUAUGGAUGUAAAAAGAAAAAAAUAAAAUAAUAUAUGUAUAUACAUAUAUUUGAAAACACAUACAUAUAUAUAUAUACCUGCAAGUGUUAUCUACGUUACAACGGCGUACAUUCGACGUCAGUCAAUAAUUUACGCAAUUGGCAUUACCUCGGUGGUGGCAUACCACAGGACAGGUGAAUCGCGCGCAGGUAUAUAUAUACACGUGUGUACAUACCUACAUUAUAUCGAUGAAAUACACGAUCGAAUGGAAGGAAAAUACAGAUUUUUUUCCACAUAAGUUAUGCAUGUGUAGAAAAAUCUGCGUACACACGUUCUCACCUCAUAAUUUUCGUUUCUCAUUCCACUGAUUUUAUUUCGUGAUUACAAGCGAAACGGUGAUCAUCUUUGGGCAACGCCGAAAUACCUGGUCACCGACCUUCGUAGUCGAAAGAAGGAGAAGAAAAAAAAAAAAAAAAAAAAAAACCGAGAAACUUGAUAUAAUUCGUCUUUGUUGGGUGUACGUCCGUGUGUGCGUGUAUAUCGACUCGUGCAGCAUAUAUACGUACAUGGAAAUAGUAUAUGCAAAAAUUAUGUGUAUCCGAUAUGUAAACAGGUGAAUAAAUAAAUUUUUCAACGGA